AGUGAAGACGGACUUGUGAAUGGCAUACUAGCUACUCAGAAGGUCAGCUAUUGUGAGAAGACUGCUCAAGACUAUGGUCAGUUUCCACCAAAAGGCAGCAACGGGAAAACUCACAGGCGUACAUAGGAAAUAUUGUACAUCUAAGUCUGGCUAUACUGCAAAAUGUGAACUGGCUCAUUUUCUUUUGGAUACCCAACUAUAUAGCAAAGCAUGUACAGCUACUAACAUUGCAUGACUUUGUAAUCGGGUUGGUUCGGUGGGGUGGGGAAUACUCAUGCAGCAACUCAGGUUGCAUUGAGAAUUAAUAUCCUAGCUAGCCAAUUGACCUACAGCCUCGAUUGUCUUCCUAUGUUCUAAUUGGGUAAAAGCAUAUUCAUUGUUUUCCCUUCGAA